ensembl:lncRNA
GUUCAUCUUGGAUUUUCUCUUCUCCCAGAAGAAAGGAAGUGUGCAAGGCUGGCAGCUUCCCACCCAGAUGUCCUGGAGGCUGUGCAGCCUCCUGCUGGUGAGGAGCCUAGAACCUAGAAGGCUCCACUGGAAGGACGGAAGGCAAGAACUGCCCUUUCAGAGUGGGAAACAUUGCUGACAGGAGUGAAAGCAAAAGUCCAAAGUCUAAAUUUAAUCUGUUUGUCACUUGCCUCUAAUCCCCUGAGGGGAGGAAAAAAAUUAUAGAUUUGAGCACCAUGUAAUGGUCACUGUGUCCCGGACCUGGCGUACAAGUAAAGCUCGGUCUUCCCACUGUUCUGGGACAUACACCCACCUCUGUAUUCUCAGUAAAUCAACAUGGGGAGGCUGCUCGGCUGCCAGCGUCGGUGAUUACACUUCUCACACUUAGAAAACCGUAGCUCUGGAAGAUACCUGUGGUGUCUUGUUCACAGACAUCUGAGCCCAACUGACCACAGCUUGUCAUAGGUUUUCUCAGCAUCCUGGGAAAGAAACCUUUGCAUCCGUUAGGGACCCUAUGCAUGAAGACACUGGAUGCUGAUUAAUACAACAGAGGGCAUUAUAUGAAGAAAGAGGAUGAGAGGGAAAGCCACAUUUGAUGGAAAAAUGAGGAUAUUAAUACAGCCCAUGAGGCACAAUGCCAAUUUUGUCAUAAUGGUGCAGAAACGUAAACAUACCCAAAACCUGUUAGAUGGAACGUUAUGUGGGGAAAAAUCAUGGUUUGACACUAGCACACUGCAUACACCUUGCCGUUCAUCGUACCAAAUCUGCUUCAUGAGAGGCACAAGUCCAUGGCUGUUUGAUAUCUUUGCUCAAAACAGGAACUCCAAACAUCUUUCCUUAUUAAGGGAAGAAAUAUUAAUGAUUAACAUUGGGAAUAAAAAUGCCAACUGAAGAAAAGUUUGUGAAUACAGGGGUUUUUUUGCUGAAGAUACUGACAAAGUUGGGAUUAUUUUAUUGGAUCCCAUCCAGGAUGCUACAUUACAUCUUGUCAUACCUUCUUGAGUUCCUCUCGACUGUGAAGUAACAAACUUGAAUUGUUUUUGAGGUCUUUAACAUUUUUGAGGAGUGCAGUAAAGUAUAUUAUAGAAGCCUCUCUACUAGAUUUGUUUGAUAUUUUCCAGACUGAUUAGAUUGGAGUGAUGGGAAAGAUCAUGACAUUUGAAGAAUCCAUGCUUUCAACAUGCUCUCACUGUUGAUAGUGACAAUCACCUGAAUGGGGUGAUGUUUCAGGAUUCUCCCCUAUUAAGCUACCUUUUUUGUACUCUCUGUAAGGAAGACACUGUGCAACUUCCACUACAAUAAACUUAUUUUUUAAAAUAGAACUUACCUACCUACCUACUUACCUGCCUCCACUGGAACCAUUUGACAGAUGCCUCAACCUUCAGUCAACAGCUAUGGUUCAUCUCUUUACAGGCUGAAUAUCACCAGGCAAAGGAAACACAGAUAGAAAAGUAUCCAAGCUGACUAGGAAAAUAAAGAAUGCUACUGCCUGCAGUUUUCCCUUUUCUGCUGAAAAUUCAAAAUAAGGCUCACAUCAUUACAUUUCUUCUGACAAGAUUUUGACCCUAACACUCUGAUGAAAGUCUUCAAGCCCAGCUCCACCAC